rnacentral:lncRNA from 10 species
GGGGCAAGCCAUGGGACUGGAAGGCAGCAGGCAGAUGUCAGGGUUGGGGAUUACUGGCUCAGAAGCAGGAAAUCUCAUGUAGAAGCCCAGAACUUUCAAGAGAUAAGAAGUAGAGAGAUUCUGGUUUAAAGAGAGAUGACAGAAGCCCUGAAUGUCCUCUCUUCUGCUCCCCCAGAUACCUUCAUGGACUACAGGGCUGUACAUACGCCAAAUACUGAGGCUACAAACAUCAACCCAAUUGGCACCACAUAAAGCGUCGCCACUGCCAGCAACAGUCAGAACUCACUCUUCUCUAGACUGUUGAAGUUUAUAACUAAAAAUAAACCAAUAGGAAAGCUAGCCAUGCCAUAGUGGCUACAUGCAUGGGAUGUGAAGCCACACUUCCUGAGUUUGAAUCCCAGCUCUGCCUCAUCUUAAAAGUGUGAUCAUAGAGAGGGUCAUGGGAUACAUGAACUUCAGGC